GACGAAGGGGGCUAGCGUUGUUCGGAAUUACUGGGCGUAAAGCGUGCGCAGGCGGUUCGCUGUGUCCGAUGUGAAAGCCCCGGGCUUAACCUGGGAAUGGCAUUGGAAACUGGCGGGCUUGAGUGCGGCAGAGGGGGGUGGAAUUCCGCGUGUAGCAGUGAAAUGCGUAGAGAUGCGGAGGAACACCGAUGGCGAAGGCAGCCCCCUGGGUCGACACUGACGCUCAGGCACGAAAGCGUGGGGAGCAAACAGG
rnacentral:rRNA from 1 species